AAUUUUUCUGUGUUGGCGUUGUGUUCUCAGGUGAAUAUGAUGCUUGUGAUGCAAGGAUAUUCACCGGAGUACACUACACCAACACAGAAAAAUUCAUGAUUAUUA